rnacentral:tRNA from 1 species
AGUGUCGCAGCAUAUCGGCGUAUGGCGUCUCGUUGUCAGCGAGGAGAUUGCGGGUUCAAAUCCCGUCGGCACUGCAA